GUUUCGUCGUUAGGCUUCGUCGACGCCCCGCACGGACCCGCCUGGGCCGCACUCGCCCCUUCAGGCCUCCAAAUGGGCCAAGCCUCAGCUAAAAAAAAGACCAGACCAUCGCUGGAUCUCAUCUCCAGUUUCUUCCUCCCCGAAUCGCGCCGCCAGCCCUUCCAUUCUGCCCAAUCCCGCCGCCGCCAUGCUCUACAAGAACGUCCACCUCGCAAGUUCUCCCCUACCGUCACCCGGCGAUGAGCUGUUGGAGUCAGAUGCCUCUCCCAAUCGUGCCGCCAGCCAUGCUCCUCGCAAUCGCACCACCACGAUGCCGUACAAGCACAUCCGCCCCAUACCAAGCCAGUGAGAUCUGGAAGUCAGGGACGACGGUGAGCAAAUCCUCGGCGGUAAUCGUUGGCCUCCAUUGUUUCUUGAUUCAAAUGAAUCGUUGGCCUCCAUUGUUUCUCAGCACCCAAAGAUAUGGAUUUAAGAAGAGAUCAAGGAGGAGAGACGACUUUCUAUUUUUCUAUAUCCUCACGCGCACAGCAGUCAUACUGCCGAAGGGGUGGACAAAGUUGGUUUGACUUUGGUAUCUAUGUACCCGAUAGCUGGGCAUCAAGAAUCUGGAGAAUCCAUCACCUAGCUUAGCCACUGUUGUCUAAAAAGCGCCAACAUAGAGCUUCUUUGAUGAUACUGCCCGUACUGAUGGAUAACCCAGCGCCUAGGGGAGCCGGAGCACUUCAAGCGGCAAAUUGGCAGACACGGCCGCGGAUGGCAGGGAGGAAGGGGAGAGGGCGAGGACAUUGCCGCUCGGUGAAUCGUUGGUGGAGAAUUAGCCGAGCCACAGCCACAGCCAUGACAAUUUCAAGCACUCUGAUACUUCAUCAGCUAGGUGGAGUAGAGACCUGAUCCUGCAAUCCGGGGAUGAGCAAGAGUUGCAUAUGGAUAAAAUGGAUGGAAAGAACCAGAGUGACCACAAGGUGAGAAAGAUAUCUUGCCGUGUACGGGUGUAUAUUUUGAAAUCGUUGUGAUGUCAGUUUGAAAAACAGGGGCAAUUAUUGAGUUGACCAAAUAGUUGAUUUGUGCUUAUUAGUGAAAAUUCAUUGAAGGUGUUGCGACCUACUUCAUUUGCGGAGUUGUUGGAAGUUGGAACUACCCAUUCUGCAUGGUUAGAAUUUCACUGCCAAUCUUUUUGAUGCAGUUGACAUCAAAAUCUCUGGCUGAGGCUGUGUGGUUAUAACCCCAUUCCCAAUCAUUUGGUACUGUUGGAAAUUAGAACUCCCUCUUAAACAAAUUUCCCCUAUACCACUACAGACCAAUUUAUUUUCUAGGAACUUAGAAAGGCUGACAAUGAUGUUUACUGGGAUUUCCAUUAGUGGAUCGGAGUGUGUGAUGUCAUGGUUAUAAUAAUAGUGUCCACAGACCGAUCAGUGCCACAAGGUGAGUUGGAAAGUUAGUACUAUAAACAGUGUGUUGGUCUACAAGCAGUAGAGAAAAGCGCCACCUGGUAUUAUGCCUAGAUCUCCAAUUGGUUUUGAUUGGAUGGAUUUAUGUAAUUUUGGGAUAUUGGUAAUUAGGUUUGGCUACGUUUCUUUUCUUCUCUGCAAUAUUUUUAUACACAUGAUAUCCAAGAAAAGUUGUCACAGGCAAGUAAUAACAAGUGAUAAAAAAACAGAACUUGGGGUCAUCAAAAGUUCAUUAUCUUAUUUUUUAAUAAAAUCAUGCCAGUUCAGGGCAGCUAAACUUUGCUGCGGAGUGAAAACGGGUUUUCCAGAGAAAACUUCACCAUUGAUUUACACAAUGUGUAUUUUGUUGUAUUUUGUUGUUUCUAACUCAAUGCCUAAUUACAUUCUUUUUAAAUGUUGAUAACUUGACGGGUGCAGAUUCAUCAUUACCAGCUUGAUUCUUGACCUUACCUGGAAAUUGAUAUUUAUUUUUAGAUGGCAAUGUAUUUAUUUUUAGAAAACAAAUAUUGGUUAUCCUUUUUUGUACUUUUGCCAUGUGAGAACUGCAGAAUGAUUUUCAGAAUGAGU